rnacentral:lncRNA from 1 species
CGAUCCGGGUUCGCCCCCAAGCCGGGGCCGGGAGCGGUCCCCGCCCCGCUGAAGAGCCUGUAGUUUUUGGGACCACUGCCCAGAGAGAACCCGCCGAGACUCUCUGCUUCCUGAGUUUCUUUUCUGGAGGUUUGGCUGGAGAGCAGCCCGGAGAACAUUCCCCUACUGCCUGACCAUGGGAAGUCAUAGGAGGAGCACCGAUGUGUGAGAAUUGAGACACAGUGCUGCCCACCAUGUCUCUCCACUUCUCAUUAUGGCUGUACAACCAGUUUCAGAAGGCUUCUGUGAGAUAACGAAAUGUUUCCUGGGAACCUUCCACCAAAGUCAUAUAUCAGGCGUUCGAGUCUAGACCAGUCACUGCCCCAGGGCAGUCCAGGUUUACAUUUACUCUCCCAUACUUUCUGCAUACUUCUCUAGUCAAGCUUGCCAUUCUCUUUGCCUAGGGGGACUCAGUUUCCCUGUAGGCUGAUGUCUGCUGAGUCAGUGGGGAUAGGGCAGUUUGACCCAUGAGAUUUACCUGCUCAGGGCCAGGACCUAACUGGUGAUUGUGAAAAAUCACUCAGCGUGAAUAGGUUUGUAGAAGGCCGCCACCAUCAUAGGGGCCACAGCUAGAAGCUAGAGUGUGUCCCAUUGGCAAGCCCGGCCCCUCAGCUUUCCUACAGAAUCUCAAGAAAGUGAGAACUUCAGAGAUUCCCUUGGGUGCAAAACAACAGCACAAGCCCAGAAGGAGUGGAGACCUCACAACACACGAGAUCCUGGACAUGAGGCAGACCCUGUAACCACAGCAGUUGUCUCUUUGGGUUGGUAAAUGAAAUAAUGCUUUGAAUGUAGGCUCUAGGGCAGAGAUGGACUUGAGGAAAACACCACAUAGGAUAACUGAAUAUGAAACACUAGGAAUAAAGGUCUGUAUCAUUUUAAUGCAUAGUCACUCCAUGGGAAGAUGUUUAAAAAAUAGAAACAGAUUUCUGAUGUGAAUUUUAAUUUACAAGAUCUUCUCUUCCCUGAUGUCUCCUUCUUCCUCUUUUUUUUUCUCAUUCUUUUCCUUUCAUCUUCUCCUAGUCAAUAAAGAGCAACGGGACUUGACAUCCAGAGAGAAAGAAAUAUGAGGAGCCACACCCCACAAUUUCAUCUUGUAAAUGAGCUUAGGAAAGGAGAACAGGAGGGAAAGCCCCCGGGGCUGUCGGCCUGGGCUUCUGUCACUGCAGACAUCUGGCUUUUAAUGACAUGAUAUGGGAAGAAUCAUUUGGCACCAUCAUUGCUGUUAAAUGUCUUUCAAGCAUUAAUAAAACAUAAGAGACUCGC